CUGUCAACGGUAAGCGGACCGAAGGGAGCAUUAAGGAGUCGAUAGACUAACU
rnacentral:sRNA from 1 species